UAAAAACGGAAACCUUAUUUUGAAGUAUACUAUCUAGCGAUCACCAUAUUGAAAAUGCUUCACUGAUUUCACUAAUUAACAUCUCUCAAGAGUGGAAUUGCAUUGCAAGUUGCAAGAAAAAUUGCACCGUGUAACAUGGCCUUAAAAUUUCUUUGCCGGAAUUUUGACUGCCGGAGCUAAAAUAACCUGAGUUUGCACAGCUCUGACAGAGUAAAAUAGUAGAGUAGAGCACAUUAAUUAUCAUUUAAUAUUAUAUUAUAUUUGAAACAUAACAUGACAUCAAAUUUAGACAGCAAAAAUAAAAGUAUAAUGUACUGUACAUGCAAUUUUUCCAAGCCCAUCUCUGGCUAUGUUUUAUAUGGAGCACAAUAAGGGCACGACAGUGCAGCUUACUUUAAUAGGUUAACUGAGGUUACUUUAAUAGGUUAAGGUUAUGAGCAGGUAAUCUGAUUUAUUCAUUGAAUGACAGUGCAUGCUCUUCCCCUUACAGUAGUUGUGUAUUGUUAGUACUAGUACACACAAAUGAUAUGAAAAUUUUCCUUCAUUUCACCCAAAUUGUUCAAAGCUGUUUUAUUGUCCAAAGUUAUUGUUUUGAUAAGAGGAAUUCUUUCCAACAAUAUUCAGAAAUAUUCAGUGCUAUCGUAACAAAAGAGGAACAUUUGUUUGCUUUUUGAAAUGAAAUAGAACAUACAAUUAUAUCAUUUUAAUGACUUGCUUCCGAUUUUCAGAGAGGUCUUGGAAACAUUAUUAAUUGUUGAUACUUAUGAAAUAUUCAGCAACUUGCCGAUGAAAUUUUUAUAAAAUAUUGCCAUAAAAUAUAUAACAUUCUAAGGCUAUAUAUAUAUUUUUUCCUUUUUAUUGCCCAUAUAUUAUAACAUAAAUAUUUACAUUAAAAAAAAUUAGAUUAAUGUUAUGGUAGGGGCCUACCAGAAACCUUAACAGGCUUUUAUUUAAGACCCCUAUUGAUAUAAAAUUUUGAUGCUAGUUCUAACUACAGACUAUACAGUCAACCAAAUUUAAAAUAUAUUACAAUAAGUAUUAUAGUUAAAAGAAAAGAAAGAGAGAAAAUGUGAAAGCUAUUUACAGCAUAAAGUGUUACAUUGUACAUAUAAUUUGAUUAAUUACUUGAUAUUUGAAGGAAG